GGAGAUGAAGACUCCGCUUCUAAAGGAUGGUGAAGGGAAUUGGGAACAACUGAAACGUUCAUCGAAGAAGAAUAAAUACAUUGUGGUUUAUUUAUAUAAUGGAAUGAUGUCCAGCAGCAAAAAAAGAACACAACAGCAUGGAAUAAUCUCAAAAACGUGUUCAGCAAAAGAAGCAGGACAGAAGAAAAACCAUUCUGUCUGAUUCCAUCUACACGAAUUUCAAGAACAGGAAAACUAAGCUAU
rnacentral:lncRNA from 10 species